UACGUAGGGUGCAAGCGUUGUCCGGAAUUAUUGGGCGUAAAGAGCUCGUAGGCGGUCUGUCGCGUCGGCUGUGAAAUCCCGAGGCUCAACCUCGGGUCUGCAGUCGAUACGGGCAAACUGGAGUGUUGCAGGGGAGACUGGAAUUCCUGGUGUAGCGGUGAAAUGCGCAGAUAUCAGGAGGAACACCGGUGGCGAAGGCGGAUCUCUGGGCCUUACCUGACGCUCAGGUGCGAAAGCUAGGGGAGCGAACAGG
rnacentral:rRNA from 1 species